rnacentral:rRNA from 1 species
GAGAUGAACCUUCCUGGGCUCUCUGGUGAUUCAUGAUAACUUCUCGAAUCGCAUGGCCUUGCGCCGGCGAUGGUUCAUUCAAAUUUCUUCCCUAUCAACUUUCGAUGUUUGGGUAGUGGCCAAACAUGGUUGCAACGGGUAACGGAGGGUUAGGGCUCGACCCCGGAGAAGGAGCCUGAGAAACGGCUACUACAUCCAAGGAAGGCAGCAGGCGCGCAAAUUACCCAAUCCCGACACGGGGAGGUAGUGACAAUAAAUACUGAUACAGGGCUCUUUUGGGUCUUGUAAUUGGAAUGAGUACAAUUUAAAUCCCUUAACGAGGAACAAUUGGAGGGCAAGUCUGGUGCCAGCAGCCGCGGUAAUUCCAGCUCCAAUAGCGUAUAUUAAAGUUGUUGUGGUUAAAAAGCUCGUAGUUGAACCUUGGGCCUGGCUGGCCGGUCCGCCUCACCGCGUGCACUGGUCCGGCCGGGCCUUCCCUCUGUGGAACUACCAUGCAAAUCGAGCCGUCA